rnacentral:misc_RNA from 1 species
GAUGAAAACGCAGCGAAAUGCGAUAAGUAAUGUGAAUUGCAGAAUUCAGUGAAUCAUCGAAUCUUUGAACGCACAUUGCGCCCCCUGGUAUUCCGGGGGGCAUGCCUGUUCGAGCGUCAUUUCAACCCUCAAGCUCUGCUUGGUAUUGAGUCCAUGUCAGCAAUGGCAGGCUCCAAAAUCAGUGGCGGCGCCGCUGGGUCCUGAACGUAGUAAUAUCUCUCGUUACAGGUGCUCGGCGUGCUUCUGCCAAAACCCCAAUUUUUCUAUGGUUGACCUCGGAUCAGGUAGGGAUACCCGCUGAACUUAAGCAUAUCAAUAAGCGGAGGA